rnacentral:rRNA from 1 species
AAAUACCAAGGCGAUCGAGUGAACCAUGGUUAAGGAACUCGGCAAAAUGCCCCCGUAACUUCGGGAGAAGGGGGGCCGGAUGCGUUACCUCACUUGCUGGGGGAAGCGUUGAUGGCCGCAGAGACCAGGCCCAAGCGACUGUUUACUAAAAACACAGGUCCGUGCGAAGAAGUAAUUCGAUGUAUACGGACUGACGCCUGCCCGGUGCUGGAACGUUAAGGGGACAGGUUAGCUGGUUUAGGCCGGCGAAGCUUUGAACUUAAGCGCCAGUAAACGGCGGUGGUAACUAUAACCAUCCUAAGGUAGCGAAAUUCCUUGUCGGGUAAGUUCCGACCUGCACGAAUGGCGUAACGACUUGGGCGCUGUCUCAACCAUGGACUCGGCGAAAUUGCAUUACGAGUAAAGAUGCUCGUUACGCGCAGCAGGACGGAAAGACCCCGGGACCUUUACUACAACUUGGUAUUGGUGGUCGGUACAACUUGUGUAGGAUAGGUGGGAGACUGUGAAAUCCGGACGCCAGUUCGGGUGGAGUCAUCGUUGAAAUACCACUCUGGUUGUUCUGGCUGUCUAACUUCGGUCCAUUAUCUGGAUCAGGGACAGUGCCUGGUGGGUAGUUUGACUGGGGCGGUCGCCCCCUAAAAGGUAACGGAGGCGCUCAAAGGUUCCCUCAGCCUGGUUGGCAAUCAGGUGUCGAGUGUAAGUGCACAAGGGAGCUUGACUGUGAGACAGACAUGUCGAGCAGGGACGAAAGUCGGAACUAGUGAUCCGGCGGUGGCAUGUGGGAGCACCGUCGCUCAACGGAUAAAAGGUACCCCGGGGAUAACAGGCUGAUCUUCCCCAAGAGUCCAUAUCGACGGGAUGGUUUGGCACCUCGAUGUCGGCUCGUCGCAUCCUGGGGCUGGAGUAGGUCCCAAGGGUUGGGCUGUUCGCCCAUUAAAGCGGCACGCGAGCUGGGUUUAGAACGUCGAGAGACAGUUCGGUCCCUAUCCGCUGCGCGCGCAGGAGACUUGAGAAGGGCUGCCCCUAGUACGAGAGGACCGGGGUGGACGAACCUCUGGUGUGCCAGUUGUUCCGCCAGGAGCACGGCUGGUUGGCUACGUUCGGGAGUGAUAACCGCUGAAAGCAUCUAAGCGGGAAGCACGCUUCAAGAUGAGGUCUCCCACCGAGUUAAUCGGGUAAGGCCCCCAGUAGACCACUGGGUUGAUAGGCCAGAGGUGGAAGCGCCGUAAGGUGUGGAGCUGACUGGUACUAAUAGGCCGAGGGCUUGUCCC